rnacentral:tRNA from 1 species
GGCCGAGUAGGUGGCGGGUUGUAAACCCGUUUACGGGGCGACGGCCCCCCCAACCAA